UACAGAGGGGGCAAGCGUUAUUCGGAAUUAUUGGGCGUAAAGGGCGCGUAGGCGGCUUGGCAAGUGGAUGGUGAAAUCCCUCGGCUUAACCGAGGAACUGCCGUGCAAACUGCUUCGCUUGAGACCGGGAGAGGUGAGUGGAAUUCCCAGUGUAGCGGUGAAAUGCGUAGAUAUUGGGAGGAACACCAGUGGCGAAGGCGGCUCACUGGACCGGUACUGACGCUGAGGCGCGAAAGCGUGGGGAGCAAACGGG
rnacentral:rRNA from 1 species